AUGGCCGGCGCGGGCGUGACGACGACGGGGUCGCCGUGCGGGGCGUGCAAGUUCCUGCGGCGCAGGUGCGCGGCGGAGUGCGUGUUCGCGCCCUACUUCUGCGCCGAGGACGGCGCGUCGCAGUUCGCGGCCAUCCACAAGGUGUUCGGCGCCAGCAACGCGGCCAAGCUGCUGAAGCAGGUGGCCCCGGGGGACCGGAGCGAGGCGGCCGCCACGGUGACCUACGAGGCGCAGGCCCGGCUGCGCGACCCCGUCUACGGCUGCGUCGCCCACAUCUUCGCGCUGCAGCAGCAGGUGGCGGCGCUGCAGGCGCAGGUGGCGCACGCCCGGACGCAGGCGCACCUGGGGCCGGCGGCGACGGCGAUGCACCCGCUGCUCCAGCAACAGCUGCAGCAGCAGGCGUGGCAGGUGGCGGAGCAGCACGACCACCAGUCCAUGACGUCCACGCAGAGCAGCUCCGGCUGCUACAGCGGCGCCCACCAGCGCUCCGACGGCUCCUCGCUGCACGGCGCCGAGAUGUACUGCGGCUACGGCGAGCAGGAGGAAGGCAGCUACUAA
rnacentral:rRNA from 1 species